UACGUAGGGUGCAAGCGUUAAUCGGAAUUACUGGGCGUAAAGCGUGCGCAGGCGGUGAUGUAAGACAGAUGUGAAAUCCCCGGGCUCAACCUGGGAAUGGCAAUGGAUACUGGCAAGCUAGAGUGCGGUAGAGGGUAGUGGAAUUCCCGGUGUAGCGGUGAAAUGCGUAGAGAUCGGGAGGAACACCAGUGGCGAAGGCGGCUACCUGGACCAGCACUGACACUGAGGCACGAAAGCGUGGGGAGCAAACAGG
rnacentral:rRNA from 1 species